rnacentral:rRNA from 1 species
GUAGGUGGCAAGCGUUGUCCGGAAUUAUUGGGCGUAAAGCGCGCGCAGGCGGUUCUUUAAGUCUGAUGUGAAAGCCCACGGCUCAACCGUGGAGGGUCAUUGGAAACUGGAGAACUUGAGUACAGAAGAGGAAAGCGGAGUUCCACGUGUAGCGGUGAGAUGCGUAGAGAUGUGGAGGAACACCAGUGGCGAAGGCGGCUUUCUGGUCUGUAACUGACGCUGAGGCGCGAAAGCGUGGGGGGAGCAAACAGGAUUAGAUACCCUGGUAGUCCACGCCGUAAACGAUGAGUGCUAAGUGUUAGGGGGUUUCCGCCCCCCCCUUAGUGCUGCAGCUAACGCAUUAAGCACUCCGCCUGGGAGUACGGCCGCAAGGCUG